CCUACGGGUGGCAGCAGUGAGGAAUAUUGGUCAAUGGACGAGAGUCUGAACCAGCCAAGUAGCGUGAAGGAUGACUGCCCUAUGGGUUGUAAACUUCUUUUAUAUGGGAAUAAAAUGUUCCACGUGUGGGAUUUUGUAUGUACCAUAUGAAUAAGGAUCGGCUAGCUCCGUGCCAGCCGCCGCGGUAAUAAGGAGGAUCCGAGCGUUAUCCGGAUUUAUUGGGUUUAAGGGGAGCGUAGGUGGAUUGUUAAGUCAGUUGGGAAAGUUUGCGGCUGAACCGGAAAAUUGCAGUUGAAACUGGCAGUCUUGAGUACAGUAGAGGUGGGCGGAAUUCGUGGUGUAGCGGUGAAAUGCUUAGAUAUCACGAAGAACUCCGAUUGCGAAGGCAGUUCACUGGACUGCAACUGACACUGAGGCUCGAAAGUGUGGGUAUCAAACAGGAUUAGAUACCCUGGUAGUC
rnacentral:rRNA from 1 species